AUUGAACGCUGGCGGCAUGCCUUACACAUGCAAGUCGAACGGUAACAGGUCUUCGGAUGCUGACGAGUGGAGAACGGGUGAGUAAUACAUCGGAACGUGCCCGAUCGUGGGGGAUAACGAAGCGAAAGCUUUGCUAAUACCGCAUAAGAUCUACGGAUGAAAGCAGGGGACCGCAAGGCCUUGCGCGAACGGAGCGGCCGAUGGCAGAUUAGGUAGUUGGUGGGAUAAAAGCUUACCAAGCCGACGAUCUGUAGCUGGUCUGAGAGGACGACCAGCCACACUGGGACUGAGACACGGCCCAGACUCCUACGGGAGGCAGCAGUGGGGAAUUUUGGACAAUGGGCGAAAGCCUGAUCCAGCCAUGCCGCGUGCAGGAUGAAGGCCUUCGGGUUGUAAACUGCUUUUGUACGGAACGAAAAGACUCUGGUUAAUACCUGGGGUCCAUGACGGUACCGUAAGAAUAAGCACCGGCUAACUACGUG
rnacentral:rRNA from 1 species